CACUGAUGUAUUCAACCAAUCCAUAGCAUUGGCCAACAAGCUAGGUAUUCCUUGAAAUUUAAUCAUGAUAGGGAUAGAUCAUUAUAAAUGUUGGUCUUCAAUGAGCAAUUCCUAGUGAGCAUGAGUCAUCACCUUGCAUUGACUACAUCCCUACCCUUUGUACACAUCGCUCGUUACUCCUACCAGUUGAAUGUUUUGGUAAAGUGUUCGAAAAUAAAGAGGUAGUGACAAUAAAUAACAAUACUAGGCUCUAUGAGUUUGGUAAUUAGAAUGAAUAUAAUCUAAAUCCCUUAGUAAGGAUCCGUUGGAAGGUAAGUCUAGUGCUAGCAACUAUGGUAAUUCUAGCUCCAAUAAUGUAUAUUUAAAUUGUUGUAGUUAAAAAGCUCAUAGUUGGAACUAGGGUUGGGUCAUCUAGCUCACCUCACGAUGAGCAAUGAUUUACUCAUCCCUAUUAUCAAUAAUGUGAUCUUGAUCUUAUUUGAUCGGGUCAUUCCUUUGGCGCUGUUACUUUGAAAAAAUCAAAGUGCUCAAGUAAGCCUACACUUGUAUACAUUAGCAUAGGGUAACAUCAUAGGAUUUCAAUCCUAUUGUGUUGGCCUUUAAGAUUGGAGUAAUGAUUAAUAGGAUAGUCAGGGGCAUUCAUAUUUCACAGUCAAAGAUGAAAUUCUUGGAUUUAUGAAAGAAGAACAACUAUGAAAGCAUUUGCCAAUGAUGUUUUCAUCAAUCAAGAAUGAAAGUUGGGAUCUUGAAAAUGAUCAAAUACCAUCAUAGUGUCAACCAUAAAUGAUGCUGACUAUGGAUCGAUGGAUGUUACUUUUAGGACUGCUAACACCUUAUGAGAAAUCAAAGUCUUUAGGUUUCGAAGAGAGUAUAGUCAUAAGGCUGAAACUUAAAGGAAUUGAUGGGAAGGCACCACCAAAAGUGGAGCUUGCAGCUUAAUUUGACUCAACACAAGGAAACUUACUAGGUCCAUACAUAGCAAGGAUUGAUAGAUCGAAAGAUCUUUCUUAAUUUUAUAGGUGGUGUUGCAUGGCCAUUCUUAGUUGGUGGAGUGAUUUGUCUUGUUAAUUCCAUUAACGAACAAGACCUCAACUUGUUAACUAGCUACACAAAGGUGAUCCUUUGUGGAUAGUUUCUUAGAAUGACUAUGGCCACUUAGGCCAAGGAAGUUUGAGCCAAUAAUAGGUUUGUGAUGCCCUUAGAUGUUCUGGGCUACAUUCACGCUAGACUGAUGUAUUCAAUGAGAGGUAAUCUUUGAAAUUUCAUCAUGAUGGGGAUAGAUCAUUGUAAUUGUUGGUCUUGAACAAGGAAUUCCUAGUAAGCAUGAGUCACUAGCUCAUGUUGACUAUGUCCUUACCCUUUGUACACAUCACCCAUCGCUCUUACUAAUUGAAUGGUUCGGUGAAGUGUUUGGAUCAUGGCAAUGUGGAUGGUUCAUUACUCAUGAUGUUAUAAGAAGUCUAUUGAACCUUAUCAUUUAGAGGAAAGAGAAGUCAUAACAAGGUUUCUUUAGGUGAACCUACGAAAA
rnacentral:rRNA from 1 species